AUAAAAACAAGUUUCAACCAAAAACUUUUCCUUGCAUAAUCAUAGGAUACAGUGUACUUCACAAAGGAUACCAGUGUUAUCAUCCUUAAACCCAAAAAGUUUUAUAUCACGGCAUGUAAUUUUUAAUGAAUCCUACUUACCUUAUGUUUCUAGUAGUGAUGAACUUUCUACAGAUUUGGAUGGCUUGCACCUCACCACUUUCUAGGAGUUUCUUCAUAAGAAUGAUGAUCCUACUAUGUUUUGCCCUUCAAUUCCCACACAUGAUCAAUAGACUUUGGAGCCUUAUAUAGCUUCAUUUGAAGGGCCUAC
rnacentral:lncRNA from 1 species